CAAACACCCAAUUGGCUGUAAUAACCCAACUGCUACCUUUUUUAUCCCUAAGCUGUGAAUGCGUUUAAGAUUUACAGACAUUUGCUUCACAAGGGAUUCCAUGAAGCCUGGGAGGUGAUAACGACAAGCGCAGAGAGACACUUGACAAGGAAGAUAAAUUAAAAAAGGGCAUGGGGGACUUCUUGGACGAAAUGUUAACAAUGAUGAGUCAGACCAAAUCAAAUGUGAGUCAUCUAGUUAGAGGUGUGUUUGGUGAUAAAGCUAUGCAAUUAAAAUGUUUUAUAUAUAUUUUAGUUUAGUGGAUAAAGCUAGACAUAACAU